UGCCGCGUGAAUGAUGAAGGCCUUAGGGUUGUAAAAUUCUUUCGCUAGGGACGAUAAUGACGGUACCUAGUAAAGAAGCCCCGGCUAACUUCGUGCCAGCAGCCGCGGUAAUACGAAGGGGGCUAGCGUUGUUCGGAAUUACUGGGCGUAAAGCGCGCGUAGGCGGACUAUCAAGUUGGAUGUGAAAUCCCGGGGCUCAACUCCGGAACUGCAUUCAAAACUGGUAGUCUAGAGGCCAGGAGAGGUCAGUGGAAUACCGAGUGUAGAGGUGAAAUUCGUAGAUAUUCGGUGGAACACCAGUGGCGAAGGCGACUGACUGGACUGGUACUGACGCUGAGGUGCGAAAGUGUGGGGAGCAAACAGGAUUAGAUACCCUGGUAGUCCACACCGUAAACGAUGAAUGCUAGUUGUCUGCAUGCAUGCAUGUAGGUGACGCAGCUAACGCAUUAAGCAUUCCGCCUGGGGAGUACGGCCGCAAGGUUAAAACUCA
rnacentral:rRNA from 1 species